UAAAACAGACCUUGGGUUUGGUUCGUACGGGUUCAUCAUAUAAGUACGACGGUAUUGUCAACGCACAAUAAAGAAGCGACAGUCGAUAAGCUGAUUACCGAGUUACGAUAAACUUUUCUGUCCGACUGGUGUAUUUACAAUAUCGUUCGUUGGGGUAGCAAUGCCCGACACACUCCGUGCGUUAUUUCAGUGCGCGUUUUUCGGGUUUCGGUGGUUUUCGACUUUCGUUGGACCG